AAGGAUGCAACUAUGCAUUUAAACAAAAAUUUUAUAUUUUUGAUUUUUUUCUCUAAAUCAAUGUGUUAACUAAAUCCCUUAAUGCAUGGUUCUAGAGUAAUUAACUAGAUCCUGAACUUAGGACAUUGGAAACUGCGAGAGUAGAUUCUUUGCCUGAUAAUAUUCUGAUUAAGUUAAGUUUGUUAGAAACAUGUGAGAGCUGAUCAACCAUUCUUAAUGGUAAUCAACUCACCACAACCAUCGAUCGACAUCGUCAGUCGAGCGUCGAUCGACAUCGACACUGGAUCGUCGAUCGAUAGUGUUAUAAAGUGAGCGGUUGAGUCCUAGCGUAUCAGCUCGCCUAAACAUCCUAUCUUGUGGAUUCGAUCCCUAAGUACUACGAUUGAACCUGUUAUUUGAGAGAGUAAAAUCAUUCCUUAAGGAUAAUUUGAGUAAUAUCAAUAAGAUAACUAAGAUGGAAUGGUUGAUAAAUCUUGAGACGAUCGAGAUUGUAUCAUAUUAAAGAGAUUAACACGUUCAAAACUUGUGUUAUUAUCAAUAUAUUUCCACAAUAAGGUUCCAAAUGGGGAUGAUUGUGAAUAAAUAUUAAUUUUUCGAAAAUAUGUAACUCUAAAUUAUUACAUUAAAGAUUGCAAGAUUUGUUUUAGUUAUAUAAUUUUUAAUAUCAAUUACUAUAUGUUUGGUAUCUUACUUUUUUUUUAUAAUAAAUAAUUAUCUAUUAUUUUAUUUUGAAAAACUUGGUGUGAACAUAUUUACAUUUCAUAUGUUAUUGUGAAAUUUGUCUUGUCUGUGUUUGCUAUUAUAAGAGAAAAUCAUAAUGUAUAUUUUUAUGAAAGAUUGGAAUAACCAUAAGAAUAUAUUAUAAUAAAUAUAUUGGACAUUAUUUUCUUGAUAUAUUACAAAAGUAAUAAUUAAUUAAAAAUUAAAUUUAUAAAAUGAAAUAAACCUCUGACAAAAAACUGAUAACUAAUGUUCAUAACUAGUUGUUAUCUAGCCAUGAAGGAAUUUAAUGUAAACACACAACUUUACAAAACAAUUAAUAUAAAUAACUGAAUAAAGUAAAUAUAUUUAGCUGAAUUAUAUAUAGACUAAAAUUAGUCAAAACAUUUAGUCCAUAAUAACAAUUUUAAUUUAUAUCUAUUACAUUUUGAAAAAUAUGUUUCAAUAUACAAAUUAUAUCUUGACAAGGCAAUCUGAAAGAAAAUAAAACUUUCACACUAAUAUUCAUAUGCUUAGGUAAAUGAAUCAUGCACUUUUAUAUUAUUUUGACUAUAAUCUCAGAAAAUCAUUGAAAGAUUUUCUUUACAAAAAUAUAACUAAUGCAAGUUUAUGUUUAUAUGUAGAUUAACAUGCUUAGGUAAAUGAAUCAUGCACUUUUAUAUUAUUUUAACUAUAAUCUCAGAAAAUUAAUUGAAAAUUUUUCUUUACAAAAAUAUAACUAAUGCAAGUUUAUGUUUAUAUGCUUAGGUAAAUGAAUCAUGCACUUUUAUAUUGUUUUGACUAUAAUCUCAGAAAAUUAAUUAAAAGGUUUUCCUUACAAAAACAUAAUUAAUGCAUGUUUAUGUUUAUAUGCUUAGAUAAAUGAAUCAUGCACUUUUAUAUUAUUUUGACUAUAAUCUCAGAAAAAUAAUUGAAAGAUUUUCUUUACAAAAAUAUAAUUAAUGCAAGUUUAUGUUUAUAUGCUUAGGUAAAUGAAUCAGACACUUUUAUAUUAUUUUGACUAUAAUCUCAGAAAAUUAAUUGAAAGAUUUUCUUUAGAGAAAUAUAAUUAACACAAGUUUAUGUUUUUAUGUAGAUUGAUAUGCUUAGGUAAAUGAAUCAUGCAAUUUUAUAUUAUUUUAACUCUAAUCUCAGAAAAUUAAUUGAAAUAUUUUCUUACAAAAAUAUAAAUAAUGCAAGUUUAUGUUUAUAUGCUUAGGUAAAUGAAUCAUGCACUUUUAUAUUAUUUUGACUAUAAUCUCAUAAAAUUAAUUGAAAGAUUUCCUUACAAAAAUAUAAUUAAUGCAAGUUUAUGUUUAUAUGCUUAGGUAAAUAAAUCAUGUACUUUUAUGUUAUUUUGACUAUAAUCUCAAAAAAUUAAUUGAAAGAUUUUCUUUACAAAAAUAUAAUUAAUGCAAUUUUAUGUAUAUAUGUAUAUAUAUAUCAAUCUAAAAUAUAAUAGAACUCUCAAACAAUUUAUAAAACAUCCUACAAAAUGAGUCUCUCCAAAAAAUAUAUAUUAAUCGCAUUUGUUUUCACUAUUUUCUUCGCGAUGUCAAUUGUUCGCUGCACCGAUAUUGUUUCAGAUUUCGGAAUAAAGUAUAAUAUGUGCUAUGGUCCAUGUGACGACAAAGGAGUGUGUGAGCCGUUUUGUUCUGCCAAAAAAGGUCUGAAAAGGGGAGACUGUGUUGGCAAAGCAAAAGAUUAUCUUGGCGUUUGUUGUUGUGAUGAACACUAAAUAAAAUAUUAAAUAAUACGUUAGAUAUUAUAUCUUGUAUGAAAUGAAAUAAUAUUACCAAUAAUACAUAAAAUGCUUUUACAAAAAAAAUAUAAAAUGUUAUCAAAUUGAAGUUACUUUGAUUAACCUCGAGAAAACAUUAGUCAAAGUGCAUGUCUUUUCUAAAAAAACAUUGAUAAAAGUAUAGUAAAUAUUAAUAAUGUAAAUAUGUAAUCCCACAUGACAUAGAACUGUAAAAUAUGGAAGGGAAAACACGUGAAGAACAAUUAACGUUACAUAUAUAUGUCAUGCAAAAAUAAAUAAAGUGAAAGGAAACUAAUAAAAAAAUGGUAAAUGUAAUUAAGUGAAAAAUAUAAAUAUUAAUUUAAAAAUAAAAUAUUCAUUUUUUUCCUUUGUACAUAUAUUCAUUUUUUAAAAAGGAAACUAAUAUAAGUGAAUGUAAAUGUAAUUAAGUGAAAAAUAAAAAUAAUCAUUUAAAAAUAAAAUAUUCAUUUUUUUCCUUUGUACAUAUAUAUUCCUUUUUUUCUGUUACCAAAAUAAAUAUUCAUUUUUUCUCAACAUAUAAAUAAAUCCUAUGAACGGAAAUGUCUCAUAAACCCUACAUAGUAGAAGCUCUGCAAAUGCAUUCAGUCCAUGUUGUCAUGCAGCUUUUAUUGGGCCGAAUUUCUGUCACUAUUCUGAUAUACUCUAUUCUUCACUUUGAUAUUUUUUUUUUUGAAACUAUUCAUUUUGAUAACUUUUGAGUCGACAUAAUGAAUCAUGAGAAUAAACCUCUCUAAGACGAAAUUCCACUUCGACAAUACAUAUCUCCACAACCUUAAGCAGAAGAACAACAUAGUACAUAUGUUAAAUUCACAUUUGGGUAAAAAUAUUGAUAGGUUUCGCCGAUGGAUCAUGUCUUCAUCGUCAAUCUAGCUGUUGCGACUAGGCAUUUACUUGGAUGAAUUUAUGUGAUAAAUCAUGCUCCAGGUAGUUAAAAACUUUUUAUUCUUAGUUCAGGUAUUAAAAUUCAAAUUUGUUAUAAGUUCAGGUAUCGGAUUGCAUCAUUUGUUUCGUUCAAACUAAAAUGAUUCAGUUACGAACUGUUUCAUGCCACCAUUUUACGGACAUGAUGACGGUUGUAUGUAUUUAAAUGUCUUUUAUUCUAAGUUGAUGUAUUAAAUUUAAAUUCGUUAUUAGUCCAAAUAUCAGAUCAGACAAUUAAAUAGUUUAUAUAUUGAUUAGGCGAUAUGGCCUAGUUCGUGCACUAAUUCACCAUUUUUCCUAGUUUCAUCUCUUGAUUGAAUUAUUACAACUAUUCUUAUGGAUUUGAGUGAGUAGAUCGAGAGAAACAAUGAUUUAAAUAAAAUUUAUUAAAGUUUAAUGAUAUUAUAGGUGUUGAUAAUCAAUGGACAUAUAUACGUGAGAGAGAUUUCAAGAAGUCGAAAGAAAAUAAAAAAUUGUAAGAUGACAAGAAUGAUAUAUAUAAGUUUACAAAAAAAAAGAAUGAUAUAUACAUAUAUAUAUAUGUGGAAGGGAAAACACAUGAAGAACAUGCAAAAUUAACGUUACAUAUAUAUGUCUCAUGCAAAAAUAAAUGAAGUGAAAAAAUAAAACUAAUAAGUGAAUGUAAAUGUAAUUAAGUGAAAAUAUUCAUUUUUUCUAGACAUAUAAAUAAGCCGUAUGACGGAAACGUCUCAUAAACCCUACUACAUAGUAGAUAUGAGGCGGAUGAAGCAUUAGCUUCACGGCCAAUUACAAUAAAUAUUAUUUUGGGGAAAAAUUAUGUGAAAGGUGUUUAGAAAUUUUAAAACAACAUUAAAGAUCAUGGGCUUCACUAUAUAGAGCAUUUACCGAAAAAAUCAAUAUUUUCGUAUGGGUUAACACGUAGAUUUUGAAAAAAAUAAAAUAAAAAAAAGGAAAAUAUUAUUUUAUUGCAUAGUUGCAUCAUGCACUAACAUACGAUGAAGGUAAAAUAGAUUUGGAACCUUUGUUGUCUCCGUUUUUCUAGAGAAUAUCGAUUUUAUAGUGGUUACUCCACUAAUUUAGGGUGUAUUGUAAAGUUUUACUUAAUUAAUUGAUAAAAAUUUAAAACGAUGUGCAUCUACCAUGAAAGAGAGUUUAAUAUACAUUAACAAAAAUGUAGAAUGUGUUUAAAAAUUUUAAAACAACAUUAAAGAUCAUAGGCUUCAGUAUAGAGCAUUUACCGAAAAAUUAAUAUUUUCGUAUGGGUUAACACAUAGAUUUUGAGAAAAAAUUCAAAAAUAUGACAAUACUAUUUUAAUGCAUAGUUGCAUCAUGCACUAACAUAUGAUGAAGUUUAAAAAUGUUUGGAACCUUUGUUAUCUCCGUUUAUCUAGAGAAUAGAGAUUUUAUAGUGGUUUGUCCACUACUUUAGGGAGUAUUAUGAGAUUUACUAAAUUAAUUGAUAAAAAUUAAAACGAUGUCCAUGUAACAUGAAAUAUAGUUGAAUAUACAUUACUACAAAUGUAUAACAUGA